rnacentral:lncRNA from 1 species
GGGUUCAAGUCAUUCUCCUGCCUCAGCCUCCCAAGUAGCGGGGACCACAGGUGCCUGCCACCACGCCUGGCUAAUUUUUUUUUUUUUUUUGAGACGGACUCUUGCUCUGUGGCUCAGACUGGAGUGCAAUGGUGUGAUCUCAGCUCACUGCAACGUCCGCAUCCCGGGCUCAAGUGAUUCUCCUGCCUCAGCUUCCUGAGUAGCUGGGAUUACAGGUGCCUGCCACCAUGCCCAGCUAAUUUUUGUAUUUUUAAUAGAGAUGGGGUUUCACCAUGUGGGCCAGGCUGGUCCUUGUAAUCCACCUGCCUCGGCCUCCCAAAGUGCUGGGAUUACAGACGUGAGCCACUGCACCCAGCCUAUUUUUUAAUUUUUUUAGAGACAGGGUCUUACUCUGUCACCCAGGCUGGAGUGCAGUGGUAUGAUUAUGGCAACUUCGAACUCCCCAGCUCCAGCAAUCCUCCCACUUCAGCCUCCUGAGUAGCUGACACUACAGGUGCACACCACUGGGCCCAGCUAGUUUUUUUGUUUGUUUGUUUUAGUAGACAAGACCUCUCCCUAUGUUGCCCACGCUGGUCUCAGAACUCCUGGGCUCCAGCGAUCCUCCCGCCUUGGCUUCCCAAAAUGUUGGGCUUACAGACAUGAGCCACUGCAUCCAGCUAUUUAUUUUAUUUUUUAAAUGACACAUAAUUGUACAUAUCAGUGGGGUACAUAGUGAUAUUUCAAUAUAUACAAUUUCUAGUGAUCAGAUCAGGGUAAUUAGCAUAUCCAUCUUCUCCAACAUUUAUCCAUUGUUAGAAACAAAAUGCUUGUUCCUUGGUGCCGCAAGGAGAAAUCAGCAUUCAGACAAAAAGUUUUCACAGCAAGGCAAUUUUACUUACUGCAGAAAAGGUGCUGCUUGUCAGCAAUCUUGCCACGAGACCACACUGAACAAAGAAAGACAGGAAUAUUUAUCCCCUAUGCACUGGGUCCUUACUGCUGUGUCCUAUCUCCAUUGGUUGGAGCUGGACCUCACAGUCUAAGUUAAACCCAGCUGGCUAACAAUUUAAGACUUUCCUAAAUAGGUAAAGGUAAUGGAGAACAAAAGGAAAAGAGGCUUGCGAAAGGACUUAGAGAAGUAACAACAUUUCCAAAUAAGGAAGGGGCAAAGGCUGUGAGCUGGGACAUGCCUGAGCAUGCCCAGAACAAAUAUCUUGGUUAAAGUACAAGGACAUAGAAUAUACUUAUUCCCUUAUAUCUAACAGCUACGUAGGAUAGGGCUUAACAAAGAGUUAUUAGCAAAAAGCAAGAAGGCUUUGGAGGAAGUUAGUCUUUAAAAUAAACUAUUAUUUCUAACAUUUAUUAUUUAUUCUUUAACAAGAAGGGAAACUUUGAAGAGGAAUUUUACUUUCCACAUCCAUUUUUCAUUUCUUUUCUUUUCUUUUUUUUUUUUCUUUUUUUUUUCUGAGACAGGGUCUCACUCUGUCACCCAGGCUGGAGUGCAGUGGUGCCAUCUCAGCUCACUGCAACCUCUGCCUCCUGGUUUCAAGUGAUUCUCUUGACUCAGCCUCCUGGAUAGCUGGGAUUACAGGCAUGAGCCACUGUGCCUGGCCCACUAUGUCUUAAAAGUGCUGGAGGGAAGUGGGAGCCGCGACCCUUCCAAAGGACACCUUUCAUACCUUUCAUACCGUGCUGCAGGCAGACAAUUUAUUGAAAAGCAAUCUGCCCCAAAACAACCCACCAAAAAUCAAUUUGACAAAUUCACCCUAGAGCCCCUAGGCUGGAAAUGACGUCUCUCUGUCUCCACUUCAAGCCUGUCUCCCAGAAAGUAUUUUUUUGUUUCUUUAUAACAUGACAGCUCAGCAUGUCAUUAAAGAUUUUUCCUCGUCAUUCUAUUCCCCUGGCCUUCUUCUCCUCCUAGAAUUUGUAUUUCUAGCCAGCAGAGUUGAGACAUGGGACCAAUGAUUUACUUAAGCAGAUGUAAUCGCCGGGCAUGGUGGCUCACACCUGUAAUCCCAGGACUUUGGAAGGCCGAGGCAGGUGGAUUGCUUGAGCUCCGGAAGUUUGAGACCAACCUGGGCAACAUGGCAAAACCGUGUCUCUACAAAACAAACAAACAAACAAACAAAAAAAAAACCAAAAAAGACAAAAAAUCAAAAAUUAGCUUGGUACGGUGGUAUGCGCCUGUAGUCCCAGCUACUCGGGAGGCUGAGACAGAAGAACGGCGUGAAUCCGGGAGGCGGAGCUUGCAGUGAGCCAAGAUCACGCCACUGCACUCCAGCCUGGGCGACAGAGCGAGACUCCUUCCCCCCCCAAAAAAAAAAAAAAAUCUUUAAGAUGAAGCAAAAACCCUAGACUUCUGAAUUCGAAAUGAAAGUCUCAGAAUGAACUCAUUUUUCUUCUUAAAAAAAUUUUUUUAAACGGUCCUGUGUCCUCUGAAAAGGUCUAGCAUUAUUGAACACAGAAACAAUGAGUGCUUCUGGUACCCAGAUGGUGACUUAUAAAUGCUAUUAAGAUUGGUGCAAAAGUAAUUACUUUGGCAAACUGCAAUUACUUUGACACUAACCUAAUAUUUCCACCAAAGGAACCAGGACUCCUUGGAGAAAUGGCUGAUUGCAAGCCUGGGGAGUAGAAGUAAAUGUACAAAGUGAGCUUAAGCCUGGAACAGGUCAUCAUACCAGAAAGCAAAGAACUAAUCAAAGAUCUCUAUUAUAGAGGCCAUGUCAAAAGGACUCACGGUCAAGGUGAAUAGGCUGCUACUGGACCCAAAUUGAGAUAAUUUGAAAAUCAAUACAGACAAUAAUUAUAGUUAAUUGAAUUAUAGUUAAUCAAAUACUUUUAAAUCCAGGAGUUCAUAAUUUUUUAAGUUUACUGGAUACUAGAAAACUAACUUAUAUGUGGGGGAAAGAAGUGGGGAAAUCAAGGAUUUCUUCAGCCAUUUUUGUUGUUGUUGUUGUUGUUUGUUUUUGUUUUUUUGAGAUGGAGUCUUGCUCAUUCUCCCAAGCUGGAGUGCAAUGGUGCAAUCUCAGCUCACUGCAACCUCCAAGACAUUCUCCUACCUCAGCCUACCAAGUAGCUGAGAUUACAGGCGUGCACCACCACACCCGGCUAAUUUUUGUAUUUUUAGUGGAGAUGGGGUUUUGCCAUGCUGGCCAGGCUGGUCUCAAACUCCUGACCUCAGGUGAUCUGCCCGCCUCGGCCUCCCAAAGUGCUGGGAUUACAAGCGUAAGCCACCAUGCCUGGCCUCUUCAUCCUUUUUAAAAGAACUAUUCUUCAGGCUAGCCAAAUAGUUCAUAAAGGGAAGAUUCUCUCUACAGAAAUAUUUCACAUAGUAAGGGAAGAUGGAAUGAUAGGUUUGAAUAUCACCAUUUUGCAAAUCCUAAUAAAUAAAGACAGCAACAACUGCUAACAAGCAGAAAGACAGACACGUACCUCCUGAUGGAAGAACAAAACACCACCUGUAAGGUAACUGGGCCAAAAAAAAUAUGCCCCAAAUAUCUGAUCAAGCCUCUAGAUUUAACUACCAACUUACAGGAAAUUCAGGGGACAGAGGAGCAUGUUAAAUGCCACAAAGAUAGCAAGCUCCAGAUCAAGGAGUGGGGGUGGAGAAAGAAGAUGGGGAGGAAGUCUGUUUUUUUGUUUUGUUUUGUUUUUUGUUUUUGUUUUUGUUUUUUUGAGAUGGAGUCUCACUCUGUCACCCAGGCUGGAGUGCAGUGGCACGAUCUCGGUUCACUGCAAGCUCUGCCUCCCAGG